GACGUAGGUGGCGAACGUUAUCCGGAUUUAUUGGGCCUAAAGCAUCCGUAGCCGGUUCUACAAGUCUUCCGUUAAAUCCACCUGCUUAACAGAUGGGCUGCGGAAGAUACUAUGGAGCUAGGAGGCGGGAGAGGCAAGCGGUACUCGAUGGGUAGGGGUAAAAUCCGUUGAUCCAUUGAAGACCACCAGUGGCGAAGGCGGCUUGCCAGAACGCGCUCGACGGUGAGGGAUGAAAGCUGGGGGAGCAAACCGG
rnacentral:rRNA from 1 species